AAUGUAAACUCCACAGUUUACGUUCUAAGUAUAUUAGAAAAAGCGUUACCGCAGAGAGACGGAUCUGACAUUUUAUACAAUUUACGAUUGUGAAGUUAGUAUAGUACCUAGCUGAUAAUAAUCAUAUUUCUAUAUUACCAUUGUCGAUGCAAAUUGCGUAUUAGAAAAUAUCAAACAAUCUUAAGAAAAUUGAUACGCGCGUCAAAAAACGAAUUUUAUGCGUGAAAAUAAUUGAAAAUUUAGUUUACAUUACAGAAACGGGAACUGGGGCGAUUAUUUGACAAUACGAGGCUUAUUUUUUUAAAUUUGACCGAUAAAUCUUAAGUACCUAAAAAAUAUGUUUACUGAACGAAAUAGAAUUGAGAGUUGUUUAGAAACAUUAUAUAGGUUAGACGUUCUCGGGGGAAAUCAAAAAUUAAAAUACACUACGGUUUCUUAAAAAAUAUUCAGAUUAUCGACAAAAUACGAGU